CUUCACCGAGCCCAGCCACAGCGGCCGGUCCGGCUCCCGCUCCUGCCCGUACGUCGCCAGCAGCGCCUGGGCCUC
rnacentral:antisense_RNA from 1 species